rnacentral:rRNA from 1 species
ACGGGAGGCAGCAGUGGGGAAUAUUGCGCAAUGGGGGAAACCCUGACGCAGCAACGCCGCGUGAAGGAAGAAGGUCUUCGGAUUGUAAACUUCUGUCGCAAGGGAAGAAGACAGUGACGGUACCUUGUGAGAAAGUCACGGCUAACUACGUGCCAGCAGCCGCGGUAAUACGUAGGUGACAAGCGUUGUCCGGAUUUACUGGGUGUAAAGGGCGCGUAGGCGGGCUUGCAAGUCAGUUGUGAAAUACCGAGGCUUAACCUCGGGGCUGCAAUUGAAACUGUAAGUCUUGAGUGUCGGAGAGGAAAGCGGAAUUCCUAGUGUAGCGGUGAAAUGCGUAGAUAUUAGGAGGAACACCGGUGGCGAAGGCGGCUUUCUGGACGAUAACUGACGCUGAGGCGCGAAAGUGUGGGGAGCAAACAGGAUUAGAUACCCUGGUA